rnacentral:sRNA from 1 species
AGGGGAGGUGGCGGUGGUGGCCCUCGCCUGUGGCCCCCGUGCAACUUGCACUCGAACUCGUCGCCAUGGAGGAGCUCCAGGAGCCCCUGAGAGGACAGCUCCGGCUCUGCUUCACGCCAGCUGCCCGGACUAGCCUCUUACUGCUCAGGCUCAACGACGCUGCGCUGCGGGCGCUGCAAGAGUGUCAGCGGCAACAGGUACGGCCGGUGAUUGCUUUCCAAGGCCACCGAGGGUAUCUGAGACUCCCAGGCCCUGGUUGGUCCUGCCUCUUCUCCUUCAUAGUGUCCCAGUGUUGCCAGGAGGGCGCUGGUGGUAGCUUGGACCUUGUGUGCCAACACUUCCUCAGGUCUGGGCCUAACCGCCUCCACUGCCUGGGCUCACUCAGGGAGCGCCUCAUUAUUUGGGCAGCCAUGGAUUCUAUCCCAGCCCCAUCAUCAGUUCAGGGACACAACCUGACUGAAGAUGCCAGACAUCCUGAGAGUUGGCAGAACACAGGAGACUAUUCUGAAGGAGAUGCAGUAUCACAGCCACAGAUGGCACUAGAGGAGGUGUCAGUGUCAGAUCCACUGGCAAGCGACCAAGGACAGUCACUCCCAGGAUCCUCAAGGGAGCACAUGGCACAGUGGGAAGUGAGGUACUUUGGAUGGGGUGGGACUAACAUGGGAAG